rnacentral:rRNA from 1 species
GCGUUGUUCGGAAUUACUGGGCGUAAAGCGCACGUAGGCGGAUUGUUAAGUUAGGGGUGAAAUCCCGGGGCUCAACCCCGGAACUGCCUUUAAUACUGGCAAUCUCGAGUCCGGGAGAGGUGAGUGGAACUCCGAGUGUAGAGGUGAAAUUCGUAGAUAUUCGGAAGAACACCAGUGGCGAAGGCGGCUCACUGGCCCGGUACUGACGCUGAGGUGCGAAAGCGUGGGGAGCAAACAGG